rnacentral:rRNA from 1 species
CCGGUGAACUGAAACAUCUAAGUAACCGGAGGAAGAGAAAACAAUAGUGAUUCCGCAAGUAGUGGCGAGCGAACGCGGACUAGCCCAAACCCAAGUAGUUACGGCUGCUUGGGGGUUGUAGGACUGUGAUAUGGACUGUAUAAACGAACUGGAAUGAUUUGGGAAAGUCAGCCAGAGAGGGUGAGAGCCCCGUACAGGUAAAGUUGUACUACCUAACAGUAUCCUGAGUAGGGCGGAACCGGAGAAAUUCCGUCUGAAUUUGCCAGCACCAUCUGGUAAGGCUAAAUACUCCUGAGAAACCGAUAGUGAACCAGUACCGUGAGGGAAAGGCGAAAAGAACCCCUGUGAGGGGAGUGAAAUAGAACCUGAAACCGUGUGCGUACAAGCAGA